ACAAACAUGUUACUCUUUAAUGUAGACUCACAUCUCAUUAUAAAAUCACAAGUGGAAUGAGACACACUUCGCCUUUGUAACUGUGUUGCCAGGAAGCAGAAUGAAAACCAAACUAUAUACACUGCCUGGAUUCUUGGUCCAUUUACCACUUUAAGAAAGCCCAUGAAAAUCCUCCUCCCAGGAGGGGUCCAGGAACAGUAGCUGAUGAAGGCAAUGGAUAUUGCCCUCACUGAGGAAAAAAUGUGAGUAACUGGCUCCAUGGUGAUUAGAUUCCAGCUAAGCUCAAGCCACAAUAAGCACUCUUAGCAAGUUUACAAAUGACAUCAAGGUGUGUGGUGCACUUGACACACUGGAGGGUAAGAAUACUAUCCAGAGGGACCUGGACAGACUUGAGAGGUGGGCCCAUGCAAACUUCAUGAAAUUCAACAAGGCCAAGUGCAAGGUCCUGCACAUGGGUCAGGGCAGUCACAAGCACAAACGCAGGCUGGGUGAAGAGUGAAUUGAGAGUAGCCCUGUAGAAGACUUGGGAUAUUAGAGGAUGGAAAACCAACUAUGAGCUGGCAACGUGCGCUCACAGAUGAGAAAGCCAACCGUAUCCUGGGCCCCAUCAAGAGAAAUGUGGCCACUAGGUUGAUUGUGAGGAAUCUCUCCCUCUACUCUGCUCUUGUGAGACCUCAUCAGGAGUACUGUAUCCAGCUCUGGGGUCCCCAACAUAAAGAUGUGGACCUGUUCAAGUGGAUCCAGAGGAAGACCAUGAGAAUGAUCAGGAGGCUGAAGCACCUCCCUUAGGAGGACAGGCUGAGAGAGUUGGGGUUGUUCA